UACGUAGGGUCCGAGCGUUGUCCGGAAUUACUGGGCGUAAAGCGCACGUAGGCGGAUUGUUAAGUCGGGGGUGAAAUCCUGGAGCUCAACUCCAGAACUGCCUUCGAUACUGGCGAUCUCGAGUUCGGGGGAGGUGAGUGGAACUGCGAGUGUAGAGGUGAAAUUCGUAGAUAUUCGCAAGAACACCAGUGGCGAAGGCGGCUCACUGGCCCGAUACUGACGCUGAGGUGCGAAAGCGUGGGGAGCAAACAGG
rnacentral:rRNA from 1 species